UACGUAGGGUGCAAGCGUUAAUCGGAAUUACUGGGCGUAAAGCGUGCGCAGGCGGUUAUGUAAGACAGGUGUGAAAUCCCCGGGCUUAACCUGGGAAUGGCAUUUGUGACUGCACGGCUAGAGUGUGUCAGAGGGGGGUAGAAUUCCACGUGUAGCAGUGAAAUGCGUAGAUAUGUGGAGGAAUACCGAUGGCGAAGGCAGCCCCCUGGGAUAACACUGACGCUCAUGCACGAAAGCGUGGGGAGCAAACAGG
rnacentral:rRNA from 1 species